CUCUGAUUGGGGACCAUAUUUAGGUAGCCAUUUUGUCUAGGGUAUUUGUGGGUUCUUAUUCUAUGUUUAGUUGCCUGUCUGCACUACUCUUAUUUCCGUCACGGUUCAUUCGUUAAAUAAAGAAGUAUGUACGCUUACCACGCUGCGCCUUGGUCUCCUCCAUACAACGAACGUGACAAUGACAAGUCAUUUUUCCAACAAUUGAAUUCUACAGAUGAGGAACCAUAUGUGACAUUAAAAAAAUAAAAAAAUAAAAAAAGCUAUACAUAAAAUCAUUAUUGGAUACCCAUUUUCUAUAGUGAACUGGUUUCACAAGGUUUCCACGCGCUAAUUAAAAAUAAUUUAAAAUUUAAAGAUAGGCUCUCGUGGAAUAACAGUUUCUGUGCACCACUCAGAAUGGACUGACAAGCGCACAACUUUUCUGUUGCUGAUGAAAAUCGCCGAAAUGUGGGAAAGAAACAUAAAACUACAAGAAUGGAAAGACUGGCAAAGGAAGAUCUUGCGGGAAAACCCUAUACAAAUCGUAAGGGUCAAGAGAACUGUGAAAAGCUGUCCAAAAUAGGGAAGAGCGUGUUCCACGACGUGCAGAAAGGAGUGUGGAAAGUUGACUGAUGAGCGCAGGCUGCAUCUUUUCAACAGUUUCUACACUGUCCCAUACGAGAAACAGCAAGCGUUGAUUCUCUCCGGCUUAGAACAGCAUGAGGUGAAACGGAGACGUAAACCUGAGGAUACAAACGACGGAAACGAACCUUCAAAUACCAUGUACAGCAAGCAGGCCAGAGAUUGAAUGUGUGCAAGGUCACUUUCAUGUCUGCGUUCCAGCUAACCAACAGCCAUCUU